rnacentral:rRNA from 1 species
UAGGGAAUUUUGCGCAAUGGACGAAAGUCUGACGCAGCAACGCCGCGUGAGUGAUGAAGGUCUUCGGAUCGUAAAGCUCUGUUGAGUGGGAAGAAUAACCUCGCAAAUAAUACGUGCGAGGGAUGACGGUACCAUUCGAGGAAGCCCCGGCUAACUACGUGCCAGCAGCCGCGGUAAUACGUAGGGGGCAAGCGUUGUUCGGAAUCACUGGGCGUAAAGGGAGCGUAGGCGGAUUGGUAAGUUAGGAGUGUAAUCCACAGGCUCAACCUGUGGCUUGCUUUUAAUACUGCUAGUCUUGAGUAUGGGAGAGGAUGAUGGAAUUCCAGGUGUAGCGGUGGAAUGCGUAGAUAUCUGGAAGAACACCAGUUGCGAAGGCGGUCAUCUGGCCCAAUACUGACGCUGAGGCUCGAAAGCUAGGGGAGCAAACAGG